GGGAAAUCCAAUGACAUAGAACACUGUUCCAGGUGUUAACUGUUUUUUUUUUUUGUUGUUGUUGUUGAUGAUUCUGACAUUCCAGUUGUGUGUUUAAAAGGAAGUACUGAAGGGGUUAAUGCAAAAUUUUUCUGUUCCUCAAGUAUUCAGAGAGUUAAAGCUGUGUGAAUUUGGUUCCUGGAAUUCUCUAGAGGGAAAUAAGAGGGAAAUGUAAGAAAUGCAUGAGAUGCAGAAAUGUUUUCAAUUAUGUUGCUGGAAGUAAUACGAUCUCGGGAUCUAAAGGAUGGAGGGUAAGUCUCAAUACAUGCUACCACUGUCAUUAUAUCUUCAAGACGUGAAAACAUCGCUGUGGUCCAUCUCUAUUUACUGCAAGCAGAAGGGUCAAGACAGAAAACAUAGAGGCUUUUAGUAGGAGACUGAAAUAGCUACAGUGCAAGACGGAGAGAGGCCUUCAUGCAUGGUGUGCAUUUGCCACCUAGUGACCACACUGAGUCAGUAGCAUGUCCUGUUGGUCAGCACACUGAAGAAAGACACGCAAAUCGACUGCCGGUGAGUGUGCAGUUGCUUCAACUUUUGCAAACGUGAUCUAGCAAAUAUUAUUCUUCCAAAUAGCUGUCAUUCUCAUUACCUCAUAAUCUACUCAUUCCAACUACCCCCAUUCUGACGCACUUUCCUAUUUCUGUGUCUGCUUUCUUCUAGAUGGUGGUAUUUGUCAUUCCCACCUCAAACUGGUAGCAUGACCUUGACUCCUGAAUUCUGUGGUCCCUAUACAACUGCAAGUCAUUCUCAUGCAACAUUUUGGCUUACCUUGUCUGCUGCACCUUUGUGAUCUUUAGAACACUAUGCAAG
rnacentral:lncRNA from 1 species